rnacentral:rRNA from 1 species
UACGAAGGGGGCUAGCGUUGUUCGGAAUCACUGGGCGUAAAGGGCGCGUAGGCGGCCGAUCAAGUCGGGGGUGAAAGCCUGUGGCUCAACCACAGAAUUGCCUUCGAUACUGUUUGGCUUGAGACCGGAAGAGGUUAGUGGAACUGCGAGUGUAGAGGUGAAAUUCGUAGAUAUUCGCAAGAACACCAGUGGCGAAGGCGGCUCACUGGCCCGGUACUGACGCUGAGGUGCGAAAGCGUGGGGAGCAA